CCUACGGGGGCUGCAGUGGGGAAUAUUGGACAAUGGGGGGAACCCUGAUCCAGCCAUGCCGCGUGUGUGAAGAAGGCCCUCGGGUUGUAAAGCACUUUCAGUGAGGAAGAACGCCUGGUGGUUAAUACCCAUCAGGAAAGACAUCACUCACAGAAGAAGCACCGGCUAACUCCGUGCCAGUAGCCGCGGUAAUACGGAGGGUGCGAGCGUUAAUCGGAAUUACUGGGCGUAAAGCGCGCGUAGGUGGCUUGAUAAGCCGGUUGUGAAAGCCCCGGGCUCAACCUGGGAACGGCAUCCGGAACUGUCAAGCUAGAGUGCAGGAGAGGAAGGUAGAAUUCCCGGUGUAGCGGUGAAAUGCGUAGAGAUCGGGAGGAAUACCAGUGGCGAAGGCGGCCUUCUGGACUGACACUGACACUGAGGUGCGAAAGCGUGGGUAGCAAACAGGAUUAGAUACCCCGGUAGUC
rnacentral:rRNA from 1 species